UGGGGUGGGGUGGGGUGGGGUGGGGUGGGGGCGGGCCCGAGGGAGCGCACCUCGGGGAGACACCCUCCUCUCCUGCCGGCCUGCGGGACACGGCCCUCCCCCACCUCCCCUGCUCGGCCGUCGCAGGUGUGGGCGCCUCCGGGCCCUGGCUAGCCCGUUCAGGGUCUCUUUUACAUUGGUUAGUUGAGCCAACUCUUUCCAACCUGGACUGCUGACCUGUGACCUCCCAUUAUUCAAACCAAGGCUGACCUAUGUGGGCAUCUGGAGACCCUUGGCCUUGUUGCUUCACUUAUCCGCAUCACCUUCUGAAAUCAAGAUACUUCAUCAAGAAGCAAGGGUGGAAGAGAAGCUUCCCAUGCCUGGUUUAUAAAUAUGGCCUUGAAAAUGUCCACAGACGUAUUGUUGUCUUGUUGAGUCUGCAGCCAGGAAGGCAGAAAUCACUGUGGCAAAGCAGGUGUGAACGUCCCCCUACUUCAGAGGCAGCUCUCUUUGAAGCUGGAAAAUCAAGGACGCUGGUACCUUCAAGGAAACAAGGAUAUAAUUAUCACAACCCCCAACUGGCCAGUGACCUUCCAUUCCUCAGGCCACCCUACUCCCUUCGCUGGCACCAGCCCAGGUCCUCACAGACUCAGCUCUGUGUCCCAGACCGCUCAGACCCAGGAGCAACCCCCUCAUGCACCCUUUGA
rnacentral:lncRNA from 1 species